rnacentral:lncRNA from 1 species
CUGCCUUCUUGACCUGUUUCACUUCAGCACGGCAGCCCACCUCACCUCCCCGUCUCCUACGCGUCGCGAGCGUCGCCAGCUGGGUCGUCUUCAAGGUUUCAUUGCUAGCUAGGACUGAAAAUGAAAACGUUUUCAGCCUAUUCUAAUGUUCAUAGUUCGUAGUUCGUAUACAAUUGUGGAAACCGUAUAAUUUUCAAAGAUUUUAAUUGUUU